UUUAUGAUUAGGUUAGCUUGUACUCUCAUGUCAUCAACAUAAAGAGAAAAUAAUCUCACAUUUGAUACCAAGUAUACUGUGAUAUUUUCAAAACCUGUAUUUCAAAACCAUCUAUUUUAGAGGGAAGAGGAAUGGAUGGGGCUUCCUUAAAUUUCUCCAGUACUCCUGUUCAAAAGAGACCAUCAACACUGUUGCAAAGUAAUCUCUAUGUCCAAUGUGGGGCUCAAACUCGACCCUGAAAUCAAGAGUCUCAUGCUCUAUCAACUGAUCCAACCAGGCACCCCCAAGCAAAUAUGUUUUGAUUCAGCAAGUGCUCUCUGAGAGCCUUGCAUAUGCAUGUAUAAGACUAUCCACUGCAGCACUGUCUGGAACAGCAAAAGUUUUCCUUCUUGCCCUCACAAGGAACACUUCCCAGACCUCAGUGUGUGACCAUCUGCUCAUCUCUGCCUCAGACAGUUCAUCUGGCCACAAAGCUUCAAUACUCAACUCUACACCAGGACUUCCAAAUCCAAAUCUGAAAGCCAGAUUUUCUCACGACCACUUUUAGUCAGGUUUCUCCAGUUUCCAAGAUGAAUUUUCUCCUGGAUGUCCUCUUGUCACUUCAAACUCAAUGUGCACUAAAGCUGCUCUCUAUACUCUCUCUACGAUCCUCCAAUACCCAUUCUUCUCUUCUCUCAGAGGAAUAGAACUUUCAAUUUUUGCUUGGCAAAAGAACUCCUGGACUAAAAAACUUUGAGCGUGUUCAACUUCUGAGAAACUCCCUUGAAGAGAAAGAGCAGUCCUUCUCAUUAACCCCUUCCUUCUUCCUUCUAGCUGGAAGGAUGAAAUGGUGGCACUCCAGCAUCAGUCUGAGCUAUGUGGACGACAGCCCUACACUAG